rnacentral:rRNA from 1 species
CGACGCUGGCGGCGUGCCUAAUACAUGCAAGUCGAGCGCAGGAAGCCGUCUGCAACCCUUCGGGGGGACGACGGUGGAAUGAGCGGCGGACGGGUGAGUAACACGUAAAGAACCUGCCCAUAGGUCUGGGAUAACCACGAGAAAUCGGGGCUAAUACCGGAUGUGUCAUCGGACCGCAUGGUCCGCUGAUGAAAGGCGCUCCGGCGUCGCCCAUGGAUGGCUUUGCGGUGCAUUAGCUAGUUGGUGGGGUAACGGCCCACCAAGGCGACGAUGCAUAGCCGACCUGAGAGGGUGAUCGGCCACACUGGGACUGAGACACGGCCCAGACUCCUACGGGAGGCAGCAGUAGGGAAUCUUCCACAAUGGACGAAAGUCUGAUGGAGCAACGCCGCGUGAACGAUGAAGGCUUUCGGGUCGUAAAGUUCUGUUGUAAGGGAAGAACAAGUGCCGCAGGCAAUGGCGGCACCUUGACGGUACCUUGCGAGAAAGCCACGGCUAACUACGUGCCAGCAGCCGCGGUAAUACGUAGGUGGCAAGCGUUGUCCGGAAUUAUUGGGCGUAAAGCGCGCGCUCGCGGCCUCUUA